AACCGCCGUGUACGUGACCCGUAUGCACGGUGGUGUGGGAGGAGAGGCGCCGUGAGGCGUCUCCCUAUCCCAAU
rnacentral:misc_RNA from 1 species